UUUGUUUGCUUUUGUUCAAAAAAGGAAAAUCCAUCUUUUUCUUUUCCCCGCCGCCAUACUCCCUCAAAUUAUUUCCCCACCGCCUCCAUUAGCCCUAUCCGGCUAUCCCUCAAGAACGCCCUCUCUCCACGCUUGUGCCAAUUUCUUCGCCCUCCACCAGUGAGCACGCCAAGCCACCGCCCCUUCCUGUUGCCCAGCGCCCCCCUGCAGCGCGCCCGCCCGCCCGCCUCCCUACCCUGGCCGCGGCGGCCUUCGCUCCAUGCACCUGCUUUAGGUUGCGCCGCCGUGCGCCCUCGCUGUGCCGGCCGACCUCGCCGCGGCCUGACCCAGUCAUCGUCCCUGCUUCAUCUCCCCGUCAUGCUCCUCCAUGGGCGUGGUGAUCACCUAUGCCGUCGUAGCCAUGCCUUGGGCGCCACACCGGCCGUCAGCCUCAUCUCUCUGCUCGCCUGUCUCCUUGCCUCCCUGUGCUCACCACGCCGGACGCCGCUCCCAACCCUCCACACUUCCCUCCCCAGGCCGCGGCGGCCUUCGCUCCAGCUCUGCCUCGCCAUCGACUGAGUCCCCACGUCCCUGCGCGGCGACGUGCUCGCCCAGGCCCUGCCAAGGACUCCUGCGAACUCCAACCUCAUCGCCUAGCCCCGCCACCGUUUCUAAAGUGAUGAUCCAUUCAGCAUGUCCUCGUGCUCAUCGCAUGGAUCAUAUCUGGGCUCACACUGGGGCUCGUCGCUCGGCCUCGUCGAGCUAGAGAUCCUCCAACAUAGCAGCACAGACGCCAAGAAGGCUUAGCUGUCAUCCUUCUAGUUGUUCAAAAGCAGCACUAGCUUCAUGUCACCCUAUUGUUGUGUAAUGUUGCUGCCAUGGAGCCUUUGCAGGCACUUCCUAUAUUUCUUGAUAGGAUGUUUCAUCAUGUUCUUGCUGUAAUAUUGUCAGUGACAUUUGUUCUUGCCUUUGGAGAGGGAUCAUAUCUGAGCUCAGACUGGGGCUCAUGUCGCUCGGCCUAAUGUAGCAGCACAGUCAUUUCAGGAGACCAUUGAUAGUAUGAUGAGGUCGAUGCAAAAAAAAAUAACAACCACCUUCAUCAACUAUUAAGCUUCAGUCGAGGUCAAGCGUGUCCAUCUUUAAGUCUGCUUGACCACUAUAGGAUCUGUAACCUUAUGGAUGUUAUAGUAGCUAGUAACAAUAUGCUUAAUAUUUAGUACUUGAGUUGAAGUUAUAGGAUUUUCUUUGGAAUUGAAGUUAAAGGAUUUGUAGAUAUAUGUUUUGACGUUAUAUGAUUCUCUAAUGGAUGAAAUAUUCGUGUUCAACAUAUUAAUAUGAUAUUUUGGUUGUGAUGUGUAAUAUUCCAUGAUGGUAUGAAUUCAUACGAUGUGUUUCUUU
rnacentral:misc_RNA from 1 species